UCAUCUCUUGGAACCUUUGAUCUAGGAGAUCCUCUCGAUUGCGAAUCUCGAGAGUCUUCUGACAGAACGGAGGUAGGGACCCUCCGAGGGUGGAAUCAUGAUCAGAUAGAGGGCUCUCUACCUUCUGCUUCCCCUUUCUGGAGGAUACAGGGCGACUGGCCCAAGUAGGCCACCCGAUCGUCAGAUUUUAGAACUCCCUGCGACUGCUGCUACUGCUGGUGCAUGGCCUGCACUGCUUCGAUGAGGCCCCUGACCUGCUGAACCAGCAGGUCGAACUGCUCCAUGCUGACUGCCAUUGUU
rnacentral:lncRNA from 1 species